UACGAAGGGGGCUAGCGUUGCUCGGAAUCACUGGGCGUAAAGCGCACGUAGGCGGAUUGCUAAGUCAGGGGUGAAAUCCUGGAGCUCAACUCCAGAACUGCCCUUGAUACUGGCGGUCUCGAGUCCGGGAGAGGUGAGUGGAACUGCGAAGUGUAGAGGUGAAAUUCGUAGAUAUUCGCAAGAACACCAGUGGCGAAGGCGGCUCACUGGCCCGGUACUGACGCUGAGGUGCGAAAGCGUGGGGAGCAAACAGG
rnacentral:rRNA from 1 species